rnacentral:lncRNA from 1 species
GGAUCUUGUGGAAUGUGCGCUUCUGGCCAUCUAAUCUGCCACCUCAAUUAAUGAGGGAGAUUAGAUGACCCCUAUUUUUUUGACUUUAUUUUUAUUUUUUCAUUUAAUCCUUUUUUUGUUUUUUGAUAAAUUCAUAUUAUUUUCAUUUUUAAUCCAAAAAAUAUGGGACUUUCACAAAAAAAAUUCAAAUAUUUUCCUCUCUCAUUUUCUGAACAAAAACUAUCUUUUGGAUUAACUUUGAUAUUUUUUAUGAACUAAUUGUUUUUGUGCAUAUUUUUAAUUAUUUAAAAAUAC